rnacentral:rRNA from 1 species
AGAGUUUGAUCCUGGCUCAGGACGAACGCUGGCGGCGUGCUUAACACAUGCAAGUCGAGCGAGGCCCAUCUUCGGGUGGUGCCCUAGCGGCGAACGGGUGAGUAACACGUGGGCAACCUGCCCUCAGCUCUGGGAUAACUCCAAGAAAUUGGUGCUAAUACCGGAUGUGACCGCUGACCGCAUGGUCUGGUGGUGGAAAGAUUCAUCGGCUGAGGAUGGGCCCGCGGCCUAUCAGCUUGUUGGUGGGGUGAUGGCCCACCAAGGCGACGACGGGUAGCCGGCCUGAGAGGGUGACCGGCCACACUGGGACUGAGACACGGCCCAGACUCCUACGGGAGGCAGCAGUGGGGAAUAUUGCGCAAUGGGCGAAAGCCUGACGCAGCGACGCCGCGUGAGGGAUGACGGCCUUCGGGUUGUAAACCUCUUUCAGUAGGGACGAAGCGAAGGUGACGGUACCUACAGAAGAAGCACCGGCCAACUACGUGCCAGCAGCCGCGGUAAUACGUAGGGUGCAAGCGUUGUCCGGAAUUAUUGGGCGUAAAGAGCUCGUAGGCGGUCUGUCACGUCGGCUGUGAAAACCCGAGGCUCAACCUCGGGCCUGCAGUCGAUACGGGCAAACUAGAGUACUGCAGGGGAGACUGGAAUUCCUGGUGUAGCGGUGAAAUGCGCAGAUAUCAGGAGGAACACCGGUGGCGAAGGCGGGUCUCUGGGCAGUAACUGACGCUGAGGAGCGAAAGCGUGGGGAGCGAACAGGAUUAGAUACCCUAGUAGUCC